UCCAGCUGUAUGCUUACCAGUUUGCCAGUCAUCAACUGUGUACUUUGAAUAUAAUAUCACACCUGCAAGAUUCCUGCUAUACCACAGACAGGAAAAACCAUGCAACACCAGCAGAGGGCGAUCCAACAUGUUGUUGGAUGAAUAGUCACUUUCAUGGGAAAAACCAUGCAACACCAGCAGAGAGCGAACUGUUGUUGGAUGAAUAGUCACUUUCAUGGGCCACCCAGAACCCUCCUCUGAUGGCAAAAACAGAACAUCAUAAGGCCACUGCUUACACCAUGGGAGAGCAUCAAUGACUUCAAGGGCAGUUUGGCAGAGAGGCUGUUUGUACUGGACACACAUCAUUCUAACUACAGAGGAACAAACACAACUUCCUAAUCA